CCUACGGGAGGCAGCAGUGGGGAAUAUUGGGCAAUGGAGGCAACUCUGACCCAGCAACGCCGCGUGAAUGAUGAAGGUCUUCGGAUUGUAAAGUUCUUUUCUCAGGGCAGAAGAAAGUGACGGUACCUUAGGAAUAAGCAUCGGCUAACUACGUGCCAGCCGCCGCGGUAAUAAGUAGGAGGCAAGCGUUAUCCGGAAUGACUGGGCGCAAAGGGUGCGUAGGUGGUUUGACAAGUUAGUAGCGCAACUCCGGGGCUCAACUUCGGAACUACUACUAAAACGGUUGGACGUGAGUGCAGGAGGGGCAAUCGGAAUUCCUAGUGUAGCGGUGGAAUGCGUAGAUAUUAGGAGGAACACCAGUGGCGAAGGCGGAUUGCUAGACUGUAACUGACACUGAGGCACGAAAGCGUGGGGAGCAAACAGGAUUAGAUACCCUUGUAGUC
rnacentral:rRNA from 1 species